rnacentral:rRNA from 1 species
ACAAAAUUUAACGGCCGCGGUACCCUAACCGUGCGAAGGUAGCAUAAUCACUUGUUCUUUAAAUAAGGACUUGUAUCAACGGCAUCACGAGGGUUAAGCUGUCUCCUUUUUCAUGUCAGUGAAACUAAUCUCUCCGUGAAGAAGCGGGGAUAAUUUUAUAAGACGAGAAGACCCCAUGGAGCUUUAAACUCAACUACACUCCGCUUAACUUUACUUUUAAACCUCUCGGAUCCUGUAUGUUCUGUUUUAGGUUGGGGUGACCGCGGAGCAUAAACUAGCCUCCACAAUGAAUAGAUUUUUCUCUUACCCAAGAUCUACACCUCUAAGAAUUAGCAUUCUAACAUAAAAUGAUCCGAUAUUCGAUCAACGAACCAAGUUACCCUGGGGAUAACAGCGCAAUCUACUUCAAGAGCCCCUAUCGACAAGUAGGUUUACGACCUCGAUGUUGGAUCAGGGUAUCCCAGUGGUGCAGCAGCUACUAAAGGUUCGUUUGUUCAACGAUUAAAACCCU